UACGGAGGGGGCUAGCGUUGUUCGGAAUUACUGGGCGUAAAGCGCACGGUAGGCGGCUUUGUAAGUUAGAGGUGAAAGCCCGGGGCUCAACUCCGGAAUUGCCUUUAAGACUGCAUCGCUAGAAUUGUGGAGAGGUAAGUGGAAUUCCGAGUGUAGAGGUGAAAUUCGUAGAUAUUCGGAAGAACACCAGUGGCGAAGGCGACUUACUGGACACAUAUUGACGCUGAGGUGGCGAAAGCGUGGGGAGCAAACAGG
rnacentral:rRNA from 1 species